CACCGCGGUCAUACGAGUGUUCGCCCAAGUGGACAGUUAGCGGCGUAAAGCGUGGUUAGGGAACCCAAAGUAACUAAAGAAAAACUACCUCCGGGCUGUUAUACGCACCCGAUAGUGUGAGACCCCAUCACGAAAGUGACUUUAACUUGACCCUGAACCCACGAAAGCCGGGAAA
rnacentral:rRNA from 1 species